rnacentral:misc_RNA from 1 species
UAGCACUGGGGGCCAAAAGGA